UAGUCGGAAAAAACCGAGAGGUUUCUCUUCUCAGGGCUGAGUCACCAGCACGCAGGAGAAGAGGGCGAAGCGGCCACCCGCGUUCUGUGUUCGGAGUCAGGACGAGAAGCAUUGGACUUUGCUUGAGCCAACGAUUCCGGAAUUGGGGAAAGGGUUACCUUAGGUAGAAAUCGGAAAUUUAUAGGAGACACAGAGGUAAGGACCAACUGUUAGGACUGAGUGAAAAAUGGUUCCCUCCAACUGUAAAAGUGGAAAAAAAAAUACCUAUCUUAUAGGUGGGGCAGUGAGGAGUAAAUGAGUUUAAUAUAUUUCAAGCUUUUAAAACAACCUCGCCCAUCAUAAGCACUGUUUAAACAUUAGCUCUUAUCUUUUAAAAAUAUUAGUGGAUGUUUAAAAUGAAUGAAUACAAUUUGUCCAAGAAAUAUGGCGUAAGAGCCCAGAAGAAAUAAAGUUUAAUCUUACAAAGGGCUUCUGUAGAAAGAAUACAUGCAUGGAAUUGAUGGAAUUUGGUAUAAAUCUUGAAAAAACUUAAUAGGUGUAUUCAAUCGUUCAGUAAAUGUUUCCUGAGCAUUUAUCAUGUGUCAGCUACUGUUGGAGCUCUGAGAAUGGUUCUCAUGCAGUUUACAUUCUAGUAAGAGAGCAAGGCCCAAUAACCAAGCACUCGUGGGAGAAGAAG
rnacentral:lncRNA from 10 species